rnacentral:lncRNA from 1 species
GCUGUUCCAGUAAUUUCACCAUCGUCCAACCUUCUCUCUCUACCCCCUCAUCCUAUGAGACAGCCCACAUAUGGGCGAAAUUUAGUACCAGAGAAAAGGGGAGAGUUGGGGUAAGUAGAGAUCUCCCAAGUUAUGAGGCAACCCACACAUGGGUAAAAAUUUAUUACGAGAGAAAAAAAGGAGAAAUGGGGUGAGUAGAGAGAGAGAAGGAAGAGAAGUUCAGAACGGAGGAUUUGGAGCCACAAGAGGAACAUGAAUUUACAGAGAAAUAGGGGAAAGUUGGGGUGAGUAGAGAAAGAAGAGGAAGAGAAGUUCAGAUUGGAGGCGUCAGGGUUACAGGGCCUGCAGUCAUAAGCAUGAGCUGCAAGUUAUUGAAGCUCAAAACCUUCAUCAAAGUUUUCCGGGCAUCAUCUUUAGGUAAGGAUGCAUCCAAUUGAUUUUAGUAUGACGAUCCUUUGUAGAUCCACCAUGAUGCCCAUUUCAAAAAAAAAAAAACAAUUUCAGUGAGGUUUUUGCAUCAAGACCUCUUGUUAUUGAACCCUAAAUCACCCAUCUGCCUUUCUUUAAUUUUCUCUCUCAAAUCAGAACCAAACAAUGUAAUAAUUGAUUCAAAUCGUUCAUAUUUCAUCCAUUUAAAAAAACCCUAAGGUCAUAUUUCGGAUCAAUUGAAAAUUUUGUAGAAUUUGAUGCACACCUCUUGUUAUUGAACCCUAAAUCACCUAUCUGCCUUUCUUUAAUUUUCUCUCUCAAAUCAGAACCAAACAAUGUAAUAAUUGAUUCAAAUCGUUCAUAUCCAUUUAGAAAAACCCUAAGGUCAUUUUUCGGAUCAAUUGAAAAAUUUGUAGAAAUUGAUGCACAAAUUUCUCCAUAUAUAUUCAUGUUAUAUAUCUAAAAACCUCCAUCAUGGCAUAGCAAACAUUUUUUGGGCGUCACUUUUUGUAUAGGGCAACUGUAUGUGGGCUGCCUGUCUAAAUUUCACCCUUAUGUAAUAAUUUUCACAAAUUUAAUACAAUGUUAACCCCUAGAAAAAAAACGGUCAUCCAAUUUUUUUACCAAAGAAGUGUUCUAUUUGAUGUAAAUCGUUUUUCUUUAAGCUGAGUUUGCUUUAUUAGCGUUUUUUUUUUGCCCCAUGUAUUUCAUAGGGUUCUUAUUGUCUUUAAAUAGUUAAGAGAUGUAAUGAAGUUGUGAUGAUAGCUAGUGAUAAUUUUGUAUUAGACCAUGUAAACAACAAACAAUUGACUGCUGAUAAGUAUUUUCCAAAAUGAGGAUUGAUUUUGUAUUUUUUGUCUUUAAAUGAUUUUGGCAUUCUAUCUUAACAACAGUAGAAAUAUUUCUACAGAUAUUCUAUGUUGUUAUAAGUAGUACCAUUUAUGAGUUCUUUCUAACACCCUUCUAAUAUUUUAUGUUUAAUAUUUAUAAAUUCGAUGAUAUUGUUUACUUUGAGAAAGAUAAAUUGCUAAUAUUUAUGUAUUUGAUAUUGUUUACCACUAAAUAAUAUUAAUAGUGCUACAGAGUAAUGAUAGAUUGCUAAAGAGUAAUAUGAGCAAUGAUAGCGAUUGUUGUACUGAGAUGGAAGUAUUUAAUGCUAGCUUUGAAAUUUUCUAAAUAAUUAUAUGAUUUAAAGUUGGUAGAUGAAUCUUCUAAUUGAUUUUUUCUUUCAUGUUAUAGAUUUAUAAAAUAGAAUGGACAUGAACUGGACAUGAGGUAUACAAUUGACUUGCAGUUAAGAAGUAAGUUAGUUGGUAGUGGGACAGAAACAAGUACAAAGGCAGAAACUCCUAUUGAGGAUUACCCAACAGAGGUGGACUAUGACGAUUUAGGUUGUCACAAUGAAAUGGAGGAUAUUAAUGAUUUCGACAGUGAUGGCAACAACAAGUUUGAUGUAUGCCAAGAUACGGAGGAUGCAUAUGAGAUUAACAUGGAUGAGCCUCAAGGUUUUGAACUUAGUAAUAAUGUCCCUAAAGAGGGUAUGCAAUUUGAAUCACAUAAAGAUACAUUUGACUUUUAUAACAAAUAUGCAAAAAAAAAAGGGUUUUAAUGUUAGGUAUUCUUCGACUCGUCGUUCAAGGAAAGAUGUGUCAGUCAUUGCUCGUGAGUAUGUAUGUUCAAAAGAAGGUUAUCAACAUAAGAAAUACAAGGGGAAUCACUCAUGGCCCCAAACAAGGACAGGGUGCAAAGCCUUACUAAGAAUAAAAAAAGAAUGAAAAUGGUUUUUGGAUCAUUGUGGCGCACAAUAAAGAACAUUUUCAUGCCUUAACUUCACCAUCCAAAGUUCAUCUUCUUCGAUCACAUCGCGAAAUUCCAAAGCACACAAGGUGAAUGAUCCAUAUGUAUAACUCAUGUGGAUUAGCUGCAUUGAAGAUAACAAACGUGCUUAGUACUCAGACUGGUCGCCCAAGGACUCUCCCUUUUAUUAAAAUAGACUGCAAGAAUGAAAUCUACAAAAGUCAGAGAAAAAAAUCAAAGUAGAUAGGAGGGGAUGCAGAGGGAUUGAUGGAGUUAUUUGCAUCUAAGAUUGCUAAAAACCCGUUCUUUGCAUAUACAAUGCAAGAUUGUGGAGAAGGGCACUUAAGCAAUAUACUAUGGAUUGAUGCGAAAUCGAGAAUUGCUUAUGAGUUAUUUGGGGAUGUCAUCAUAUUCGAUACCACAUACAAAACUAAUGUCUAUCAGAUGCCAUGUGCCCCAAUUUUAGGAGUGAACCACCACACAAAGACAAUAUUCUUAGGUUGUGCGUUACUCCAUAAAGAAGAUGAGGAGUCUUUUACAUGGCUAUUUACAAAGUGGCUUGAGGUGAUGAAUGGAUGUCAACCCAAGUCAAUCAUCACAGACCAAGACAAGGCAAUGGCCCUCGCAAUAAAAAAAGUGUUCCUAGAGUCCCGACAUCGCUUGUGUAGAUGGCAUAUUAUACAAAAGUUUGAGAAAAAAAUGGCACAAGUUGAGCGCAAACAUCCAUCCUUCCAUGCAGAAUUCUAUAAAUGUAUUGACCAAUGCAUCUCCAUAAAUGAAUUUGAAGCCACAUGGCCAAAAAUGAUAGAAAUAUAUGAUUUAAAGAAUAAUGAAUGGUUGCAGUAUUUGUAUGAAAUUCGACAUCAGUGGGUAGAUGUAUAUUUACAAGACUGCUUCUUUGCUGGCAAUAGAAUAAGUGGAAGAAGUGAAGCUAUGAACAAAGACAUCAAGGCAUAUGUGAGUUCACAUACCAACUUGACUACAUUUGUGGGCAAACUACAAAAAUUAAUUGACAAAAAAAUUUGAUGAUGAAAGCACUGCAAACUUUAAAUCUCAUAACGAGACACCAGUUAUGAAGACUACUAGAUGGCUGAAAUUUAUACCCCAACUAUCUUUUCGAACUUCUUUCAGCCAAAGUUGAUGGAAGCCAUUAAUCUUACUUGUGAAGUCCAAGAGGAAGAAGAGGUGGUAUGCACAUUUAGUUUGAAAGAAUAUGGGGUAUGUCACAGAGCUCACAUGGUCGCAUUAAGAAACACCGAGGAGAAAGCAACAUGCAGUUGUCAUCUAUAUCCCUUGUAGUCAUAUGCUCAGGGUAUUUUUUCUAAAAAAUAUUUUUGAAUUACCCCAAAACUAUAUAAUGAAAAGAUAGACAAAUUUUUUUACAAAGGGUAUUGCUCGUAAUGGUCAUGGAGUUCAAGUAUGACCUAACUGUGAGGAUACCUAUUCAACAGUUGCAAUGAUCUAUUUCGAAAUUGCAACAUUCUAUCAGUAAAUGGUGCAAUGAGUAUAGGCUUGUAUGAGUAUGCAAAGAUGGUUCUAGAUGAGGUAUGUGAUAAGGUUGUUGCUAGAAUUGACAUGGAAAAGGUUAUGUAAUACAAGCAUCUUCUACCCAUAGCAGCCCUGCAUACAUAGGAUCCCCUUGUGUGACACCGAUCCUCUUUGUGGUUUCAAAUCCACAUGUGACCUAGACAUUUAAGUUUGAAACAUGGAGAGAACGAGUAAAAGAAAGGGGCGGCCUAGAAAUUUUAGUUUGAAACAUGGAGAGAACGAGUAAAAUAAAGUGCAAGAAAUUUGAGUUUACAAGUUAUUGUAGAUGUAAAUGUCCCUCUUUGUGCAGGACACUGUAUGAUAUGUUAUUUUUUGUACUUCUGAGUUUAAGUUUUUAAAACUUGUUGUUUAUAAGCUAAUGCAUUGUUUCUAUUUUAAAACCUUGAGUUUAAUUGUUGUGGAUGUUUUCAUGUCUAUUUGCUACUUUUCAAACUCUAAAAAUUGAAUAACUAACUUGCUAUUUAGCUUUGAGCAGACCUCCCUUUUCUUAAUGCUUAUGGUUAAAUAAUUUUAUGGUGAGCAGAUUGAAAUUUUAAUCAUGAAAUCUUUUCCAUUGUAAUCCACUAUCAUUGAGUUGUUCCUUGUUUUCUAUUUUGGUAUAGGGGCGCCACUAUUGAAAGCACAAUUAACCGCCAAGGAUGGUUGAGUAACACCCAAGAUGAUGAGGCUAGGCAGCAGCAGUGAUUAGCCUUUGAAUUGACAAUGAUUUACAUAUGCUUUUGAUAACUACAACCUGAAGUUUUUUGAUGCCUAAUUACACAAUUUUUUGAUAUGCAAUUGUAUAAUUUUUGAUAUCUAGUUGGAUAGUUUUUUUUUAUAUAUAAUCAUUGCAAAAAUGUAAAUAUAAUGCCCUUCAAAUACAUGGGUAUUUUGUAUAAAC